UACAGAGGUCUCAAGCGUUGUUCGGAUUCAUUGGGCGUAAAGGGUGCGUAGGUGGCGCUGUAAGUCGGGUGUGAAAUUUCGGAGCUCAACUCCGAAACUGCAUUCGAUACUGCGGUGCUUGAGGACCGGAGAGGAGACUGGAAUUCAUGGUGUAGCAGUGAAAUGCGUAGAGAUCAUGAGGAAGACCAGUGGCGAAGGCGGGUCUCUGAACAGUUCCUGACACUGAGACACGAAGGCCAGGGGAGCAAACGGG
rnacentral:rRNA from 1 species